rnacentral:rRNA from 1 species
UACGAAGGGGGCUAGCGUUGCUCGGAAUUACUGGGCGUAAAGCGCACGUAGGCGGCUUUCUAAGUCGGGGGUGAAAUCCUGGAGCUCAACUCCAGAACUGCCUUCGAUACUGGAGAGCUCGAGUCCGGGAGAGGUGAGUGGAACUGCGAGUGUAGAGGUGAAAUUCGUAGAUAUUCGCAAGAACACCAGUGGCGAAGGCGGCUCACUGGCCCGGUACUGACGCUGAUGCACGAAAGCUAGGGGAGCAAACAGG